GGAUGCGAUCAUACCAGCACUAAAGCAUCGGAUCCCAUCAGAACUCCGAAGUGAAGCGUGCUUGGGCGAGAGUAGUACUAGGAUGGGUGACCUCCUGGGAAGUCCUCGUGUUGCAUUCC
rnacentral:rRNA from 2 species